rnacentral:ribozyme from 1 species
AUGGAAGACAACAAAACAAACGGAAAAAGAACUAACACAAAGGAAGUCACGAGGCGCUGACAGUCGUAUUUUUUUUGUUUUCUCUUUCUCUUUAC